UGCAAGUCGAACGCUUUGUGCUUAAUUGAUAUGACGAGCUUGCUCUGAUUUGAUUUUUUGAUUUCAAAGAGUGGCGAACGGGUGAGUAACACGUGGGUAACCUACCUCUUAGCAGGGGAUAACAUUUGGAAACAAGUGCUAAUACCGUAUAAUACCAACAACCGCAUGGUUGUUGGUUGAAAGAUGGUUCUGCUAUCACUAAGAGAUGGACCCGCGGUGCAUUAGCUAGUUGGUAAGGUAAUGGCUUACCAAGGCAAUGAUGCAUAGCCGAGUUGAGAGACUGAUCGGCCACAAUGGGACUGAGACACGGCCCAUACUCCUACGGGAGGCAGCAGUAGGGAAUCUUCCACAAUGGGCGCAAGCCUGAUGGAGCAACGCCGCGUGUGUGAUGAAGGGUUUCGGCUCGUAAAACACUGUUAUAAGAGAAGAACGGCACUGAGAGUAACUGUUCAGUGUGUGACGGUAUCUUACCAGAAAGGAACGGCUAAAUACGUGCCAGCAGCCGCGGUAAUACGUAUGUUCCAAGCGUUAUCCGGAUUUAUUGGGCGUAAAGCGAGCGCAGACGGUUAUUUAAGUCUGAAGUGAAAGCCCUCAGCUCAACUGAGGAAUUGCUUUGGAAACUGGAUGACUUGAGUGCAGUAGAGGAAAGUGGAACUCCAUGUGUAGCGGUGAAAUGCGUAGAUAUAUGGAAGAACACCAGUGGCGAAGGCGGCUUU
rnacentral:rRNA from 1 species